UCGUAAUGUAGGUGAUGGAAAUAAGCCGCUGAUAGGGGUUUCUAUAGCUAUUUUUGGGUUUAAAGAAAAUCGAUUUUUCGCAUUUUCAAAGUGCUAUAAUUCCCUUAGUUUUUAUCGAAAUUCAUUAUAACCCAGUGUUUUCGUGUUAUAGGUGAUGGGAACAAGCCGCUGGUAUAGUUAAUUCAAAUUUGAAAAAAAUCAAUUUUUGGUGAAAAAUUCGAUACGGGGGGGUAUACCCGAAAAAUGAAAAAACCCAAACUUUGAAGGCCUAUAUCUCGGCUUCUAUGGGAGCUAUCGGGAAAAUUCCAACGGUUUUGUCUUAGUUUCGUCCUUCUGAAUCCAACGAGGCCAUCCGCAAGGUCGUAGCUCCCAUAUUAGCUGAGAUCUUGCAUUUUUGUGGCCCAUUUUUGGGCUCAAAAACGGGGUCGAAAAUUGACUUUUUUCCGAAUUUUCAAAGAGCUAUAAUUCCACUUGUUCUGGUCGAAUUUCGUUAUAAAUCGGUGUUUUCGUAAUGUAGGUGAUGGGAAUAAGCCGCUGAUAGGGGUUUCUAUAGCUAUUUUUGGGUUUAAAGAAAAUCGAUAUUUCGCAUUUUCAAAGUGCUAUAAUUCCCUUAGUUUUUCUCGAAACUCAUUAUAACCCGGUGUUUUCGUGUUGUAGGUGAUGGGAACAAGCCGCUGGUAUAGUUAGUUCAAAUUCGAAAAAAGUCAAUUUUUGGUGAAAAAUUCGAUACGGGGGGGUAUACCUGAAAAAUGAAAAAACCCAAACUUUGAAAGCCUAUAUCUCGGCUUCUAUGGGAGCUAUCGGGAAAAUUCCAACGGUUCUGUCUUAGUUUCGUCCUUCUGAAUCCAACGAGGCCAUCCGCAAGGUCGUAGCUCCCAUAUUAGCUGAGAUCUCGCAUUUUUGUGGCCCAUUUUUGGGCUCAAAAACGGGGUCCAAAAUUGACUUUUUUCCGAAUUUUCAAAGAGCUAUAAUUCCACUUGUUCUGGUCGAAUUUCGUUAUAACCCGGUGUUUUCGUAAUGUAGGUGAUGGGAAUAAGCCGCUGAUAGGGGUUUCUAUAGCUAUUUUUGGGUUUAAAGAAAAUCGAUAUUUCGCAUUUUCAAAGUGCUAUAAUUCCCUUAGUUUUUCUCGAAACUCAUUAUAACCCGGUGUUUUCGUGUUGUAGGUGAUGGGAACAAGCCGCUGGUAUAGUUAGUUCAAAUUCGAAAAAAAUCAAUUUUUGGUGAAAAAUUCGAUACGGGGGGGUAUACCCGAAAAAUGAUAAAACCCAAACUUUGAAGGCCUAUAUCUCGGCUUCUGUGGGAGCUAUCGGGAAAAUUCCAACGGUUUUAUCUUAGUUUCGUCCUUCUGAAUCCAACGAGGCCAUCCGCAAGGUCGUAGCUCCCAUAUUAGCUGAGAUCUCGCAUUUUUGUGGCCCAUUUUUGGGCUCAAAAACGGGGUCGAAAAUUGACUUUUUUCCGAAUUUUCAAAGAGCUAUAAUUCCACUUGUUCUGGUCGAAUUUCGUUAUAAAUCGGUGUUUUCGUAAUGUAGGUGAUGGGAAUAAGCCGCUGAUAGGGGUUUCUAUAGCUAUUUUUGGGUUUAAAGAAAAUCGAUAUUUCGCAUUUUCAAAGUGCUAUAAUUCCCUUAGUUUUUCUCGAAACUCAUUAUAACCCGGUGUUUUCGUGUUGUAGGUGAUGGGAACAAGCCGCUGGUAUAGUUAGUUCAAAUUCGAAAAAAAUCAAUUUUUGGUGAAAAAUUCGAUACGGGGGGGUAUACCUGAAAAAUGAAAAAACCCAAACUUUGAAAGCCUAUAUCUCGGCUUCUAUGGGAGCUAUCGGGAAAAUUUCAACGGUUUUGUCUUAGUUUCGUCCUUCUGAAUCCAACGAGGCCAUCCGCAAGGUCGUAGCUCCCAUAUUAGCUGAGAUCUCGCAUUUUUGUGGCCCAUUUUUGGGCUCAAAAACGGAG